rnacentral:sRNA from 1 species
UUUUUUCUUUCUCGAUUUAGUUAAUCUUCGUUCUUGUGUCAUGUAAUAGAUUACUAUUUCAAAACAUAGAUAUUUAGUUAUCUAAAUAAAACUAGGCCAUCCAUGGAUGGUUUCAAUUUUUUUUUUCAUAUGAAAGAAAAGUUAAAUUUCAUUUCACAAUAACCAUUGAUUACUAAAUUUAGUAAAGAAUCAAUUGGGUUUAGUGUUUACUUGUUUAAGGUUUUUUUUUUUUCUUUUGUUAUGGUUCUAUACUAAUAUCAAAGAGUUAUGGGCCGAAGCCCAUACAUCUUUCCGUCGAGAAUCUCAUAUAUUCUUUAUCGAAGCCCAUACAUCUUUCCGUCGAGAAUCUCAUAUAUACCUUAUCCCAUUCAACAUUCAUACGAGCGCCGCUCUAGGGUUUUUGCUUUUCGCCAUUGGUCCAAGUGCUAUUUGGUUGUUUAAGGUUGCUUUUAGCACACAACUUUAAUAUUAUUUUUAUGUUUUUCUUCUUACGAUUUAUCGAUUUGUGGGAUACUGACAAUCAGAUUAUUGUUGUUUUUUCCAGCCAAAUAUCAGAUCUUGCGCCGCUCUUUAUCCCAUUCAACAUUCAUACGAGCACCGCUUUACGGUUUUUGCUUUUCGACAUUGGUCGAAGUGCUAUUUGGUUGUUUAAGGUUGCUUUUAGCACACAACUUUAAUAUUAUUUUUAUGUUUUCUUCUUACGAUUUAUCGAUUUGUAGGAUACUGACAAUCAGAUUUUUGUUGUUUUUUUCAGCCAAAAAUCAGAUUUUUUUACAUUUUGUUUAGAGAAUGAUUUUGGUUCCCGAUUUGUCUGUUUUUCGCUUAUGUGUAAAGUACUUUG